UAUAAAUAAAUAUUAUGAUUUAUUAAAUUUAAUUUAAAUUUAUUUUACAUAUAAAUUUUAGUAUGAAUUUUAUAUUAUUUUAAAAAUAUUAUAUAAUAAAAGUAGUAAUUAAUAUUAAAAAUUUAAGAAAUUAAGAUUUAGUAAUAUUUUUAUUAUAAACAAAUUUUGUGCCAGCAGUUGCGGUUAUACAAAAUAUAAUUUAAAUUUUAUUAGUUAAUAAUUAAUAAUAAAUUAAAAAUUAAAUAUUAAAUUAUUAGGUGAAAUUUUAAUUUAAUGUAAAUUUUAAAUUAAUAUUAUGUUUUAUAAGAUUUUAUAAAAAACUAGGAUUAGAUACCCUAUUAUUAAAAAUUAAAAAUAAAAACUAAAAUAGUAUAUAAUAAUUUAUUGAAACUUAAAUAAGUUGGCGGUAUUUUAGUUCAUUUAGAGGAAUCUGUCUAAUAAUUGAUAAUCCACGAAUAAAUUUACUUAAUAUUUAAUUUUGUAUAUCGUUGUUAAAAAAAUAUUUUUUAAUAAAAAUAAUAUUUAAAAAUUAAAAUAAAAAAUUAAUUCAGAUCAAGAUGCAGAUAAUAAUUAAGAAUAUGAUGGAUUACAAUAAUAAAUAUAAUUAAAUGAAUAAUAUUUUGAAAUAAAUAUUUGAAGGUGGAUUUAAAUGUAAUUUUAUUUAGUUUAAUAAAAUGAUUAUAAAUUAAAAUAUGUACAUAUUGCCCGUCGCUUUCAUUAAUAAAUUGAAAUAAGUCGUAACAAAGUAGAGGUACUGGAAAGUGUUUCUAGAAAGAA
rnacentral:ncRNA from 1 species